rnacentral:rRNA from 1 species
AUAUGAGUUUGAUCCUGGCUCAGGAUGAACGCUGGCGGCGUGCUUAACACAUGCAAGUCGAACGGAAAGGCCCUGCUUUUGUGGGGUGCUCGAGUGGCGAACGGGUGAGUAACACGUGAGUAACCUGCCCUUGACUUUGGGAUAACUUCAGGAAACUGGGGCUAAUACCGGAUAGGAGCUCCUGCUGCAUGGUGGGGGUUGGAAAGUUUCGGCGGUUGGGGAUGGACUCGCGGCUUAUCAGCUUGUUGGUGGGGUAGUGGCUUACCAAGGCUUUGACGGGUAGCCGGCCUGAGAGGGUGACCGGCCACAUUGGGACUGAGAUACGGCCCAGACUCCUACGGGAGGCAGCAGUGGGGAAUCUUGGACAAUGGGCGCAAGCCUGAUCCAGCCAUUCCGCGUGGAUGAUGAAGGCCCUAGGGUUGUAAAAUCCUUUCGGCAGGGAAGAUAAUGACGGUACCUGCUAAAGAAGCCCCGGCUAACUCCGUGCCAGCAGCCGCGGUAAUACGGAGGGGGCUAGCGUUGUUCGGAAUUACUGGGCGUAAAGCGCGCGUAGGCGGCAAGUUAAGUUGGGUGUGAAAGCCCCGGGCUCAACCUGGGAACUGCAUUCAAAACUGGCUAGCUAGAGUACAGCAGAGGAUAGUGGAAUUUCCGGUGUAGCGGUGAAAUGCGUAGAGAUCGGAAGGAACACCAGUGGCGAAGGCGACUGUCUGGGCUGAUACUGACGCUGAGGUGCGAAAGCGUGGGGAGCAAACAGGAUUAG